CCUGCUGAGUGUCCCAGCUGGCUCCCUUCUUGCCCUGGCAGGGUGUGGACUUCCUGCAGAAACUCCACCAAAUCCCAGCUCAGCACUGUGCUGACAGUCCUGGCCUCUGUGCUCUUCACUCCUGCACAGGGCUCACCAGAGGUGACUGGCUAGUUGGAUAAGGUGGAGCCCCUGCUCCCCAGCACCCCUCUACUCAGUGUGCUGACCAGGGCUAGUCUGCUGUUGACCAACAGGGCCUUGGUAGGAAGACGAGCCUGGAACACUCAACAGGUUAAAACUCUUUUUAAAGAAGCAGUGAAGACCAUGCCCAAUCUUUCCACUGAGAUGUUUCUUGCCCUUGGAAGCAUUGCUUGAGGUGUAAGCUGCACAGCCCUGCGACAGGUCAUCCGGGACAAGCCAUCAUUUUCCUCAAUGCGGAGUGUCCUUGAAUUCAUGAAAGAGCAGUCUGUUCCUCCAUUCCUCACUGGGUGAGCACUAUUAAGAGGUUCCCUACUGACAUGCCGGAUACUUUAAGGAAGAUGAUUGUGCAGGACUCCCAUCACAUCCUGCUCCUACCCAGUACAAAACAGGAUAUUCUAGUGGACAAGAUGGAGCAGAGACUUGGCAUGUACACAGCAGAGUUCACUGAGGAUGAGUUCUGCUCACUGGGCAUCAUGGCGACCUAUGUAGUGGAUGAGGUGUUUCUGGAGCUUCUUUGUGGAGAGCCUGGAGUUCCUCAGAGUUCUGCUACAAGAGCAGCAAGAGGGACAACGUCGCACCCUCUUAAACAACCACCCCACACACCCCAUUUAACCUUUAGUGAUAACUCUUGUCUCCUCACAUCAAAUGAAAAAUGAGCCUUUUUGUGCGCUCUUAGCCCCGUUCAGAACUGAAGAUACUCAAUCAAGUGGACAGAUUAUUAUUUUUCUUCCUUCCCAAAGCGACGCUGCAGCAGGUUCCCCAGGAGUGCCAAGAUGGGGGCGCGGUGGCUUCAAGCUGGGCCGUCUGAGGCUGACCUGUUCAGAAGAGCAGCAGCUUUAACGGGACUGCUGAGCCAUAGCCUGGCUUUUGGACCCAUAAGCUCCUGGCGCCCUGAGGUCUUCAUUGAGCUGGCCUCCCAGAUAUGGCCAUGUCAUCUUUGGUGAAGGUUGAAGGACUGACACCAUUCUGGCUGUGUCCCUCAUCCGGGCAGACAAGUGUGAGGAUUCAAAAACACAUGUCAGUUUAUCUUCCAUGUUUUGUAUUGCCUCCUAUCAAAUAGUUGUUUUUCUUUGUGUCCAUGUCGUGUUUGACCCAGCCCAGAAUGUUUCUCCUAUAAACAGUGAUUGAUUUUGUCACGUGUGCAGCUGAUAGCUGUCUUUUUUUUUUAACGAGGCAAGUCCGUUAAGAACACAUUCUUACUUUCAAUGAUGGCCUAGGAACAGCCUUUUUUCAGGGGCAGAACGUCAAAAAUUUUCCUUGUCAGCUCGGGAAUUCGAUCUUGCACCACGAGGCUACCUAUCUAGCAAAUUUCACUGAAGUUAACAUUGUCUUGAUCUUAGUAGAGGGUAAUUCAAUUAGAUGCGUAUUAUGUCAGUACAUACUUACAGCAUGUAUAUUUUCAAAUUUUGAGUCUGAAUAAGAAGAGGAAUCAGGAUCGAGUGGAAGAAGGACAGCUCAAGGUUUGAGGGAGUGUUGGAUGUAGGAUGCAAUUGUAUGCUAAUUCUAUUGUUGAUGUUGUUGACUUUGUCUCCAUACAGUUAUGGUUGCUUUUGUGUUUCUGUGUCCCCAUGCAGGCAGGUCACCAGGGCUGGCACUGUGCCCUAGUACUCUCUGUCACCUUCUGGGACUGCUGAUGGUGCUGUUAGUUUCUGCUCUGUAAUGGCCUCCCCUUCUGAUGUGUAACCCUCUCACCCCCAAUGGGCCGUGAGGACUCUCUCCCACACAACUACAAUGUUAAACAAUAUGUGUAAUAUAUUUGAGUAAGGCUUUUGUAAUGGAUGGUUAUUCAAAAAAUGCAGAACUAAGAACAUAUAUAUUCCUUGGUUCACUCCAAACCUGACUGCCCUCGACCAGCACAAAAACAUCCUGUGG